rnacentral:misc_RNA from 1 species
GAUGAAGAACGUAGCGAAAUGCGAUAAGUAAUGUGAAUUGCAGAAUUCAGUGAAUCAUCGAAUCUUUGAACGCACAUUGCGCCCGCCAGUAUUCUGGCGGGCAUGCCUGUUCGAGCGUCAUUUCAACCAUCAAGCCCCCGGCUUGUGUUGGGGACCUGCGGCUGCCGCAGGCCCUGAAAAGCAGUGGCGGGCUCGCUGUCACACCGAGCGUAGUAGCAUACAUCUCGCUCUGGGCGUGCUGCGGGUUCCGGCCGUUAAACCACCUCCAUAACCCAAGGUUGACCUCGGAUCAGGUAGGAAGACCCGCUGAACUUAAGCAUAUCAAUAAGCGGAGGA